AGCGAACGCUGGCGGCAGGCUUAACACAUGCAAGUCGAGCGGGCACUUUCGGGUGUCAGCGGCGGACGGGUGAGUAACGCGUGGGAACGUGCCCUCUGGUUCGGAAUAACUCAGGGAAACUUGAGCUAAUACCGGAUACGCCCUUUUGGGGAAAGGCUUGCUGCCGGAGGAUCGGCCCGCGUCUGAUUAGCUAGUUGGUGAGGUAACGGCUCACCAAGGCGACGAUCAGUAGCUGGUCUGAGAGGAUGAUCAGCCACACUGGGACUGAGACACGGCCCAGACUCCCACGGGAGGCAGCAGGGGGGAAUAUUGAAAAAGGGGCGAAAGCCGGACCCCCCCAGGCCGCGUGAGUGAUGAAGGCUUUAGGGUUGUAAAGCUCUUUUACCCGGGACGAUAAUGACGGUACCGGAGAAAAAAGCCCCGCCUAACUCCGUG
rnacentral:rRNA from 1 species